rnacentral:lncRNA from 1 species
CUUAGCCAAAAAGCCAUGAAUCCCCUAUGUCAUUAUGUUUUGUAGGUUUUAACCCCGUUGAGCCUUGUUUAACCUAUGUUGUUGUUAACCCACAUUAUCCUCACCUAGCCUAGUUUAGGACCAUCCAUACCCUUGUUCUUAAAGCAUAGUAAAGCAUGAUUCGAAUUGAAUUCCUUUUGAUCUAUGUUGGCAGAAACCAAGUGUGGGGGAAGUAUUUUUCAUGAGGAAUUAUGUGCCAUAGGCACGGCAAAGAAAAGAAAAAAAAAAUUCGUGGAAAAAGAAAAAAUGAAGAAAAAAAGUGUGAAAAGUAUGAAAAAACAGUUUGAAAAAAAAAAGAGAAAAAGAGUUCCAAAGUAUUGUUUGUUGAAGUAAGGGUCCAAAACAAUGAAUUCGGCCCUAAGGAGUUGUUUAAGUCUUCCCCUUGUGUUUUAAAGUUAAUUUCUGCAAUCUAAGUGAAUUCUAAGUCUCAAUUUCAUUGCUUUGCUUACUAUUGCUUGAAGAACGUUUGUUUUCCCUAUCCUUUCCUUGUUAACCAACAACCUAAGCCCCAUUACAACCCUUAACUUCUACCUUGAGUGUUAUGUGUUUCAAUUUGUGGAGUUUGAAUUUGGUAUGAGCAUAUGGUGUCACUGGUUCUCGCAUCUAAGUAGUAGCAUUCCAUUCAUGAGAUCAUAUCUAAACAUGCUUCUUAACUCUAGAAAUUGCGUUCUUUGUGAAACAUAUAUGUGAGCAUUCGUUUUCAUAUCUACAUCAAUCUUCUCACAUAUGACUAGUGUAGGGUGUGGAGUUAGAAAAUCUGAGUGAAAAUAGAGUGUAUAUCUUGUAAGGAAUUGAGGGAAUUCUCUAAGGCAUGUUACUACAUUCAAAGCAUUGUUUUAAUUGAUUACUUGUGAACUAGUAAGUGGUGGCUUUAAUUAAGUAUGUGCUUGUGUAAAGAUGACUCAAAUCUGUGGGGAUAACAAUCUUUAACAUGUCAUGUGCAUUGGAAAUCCC